rnacentral:rRNA from 1 species
GACGAACGCUGGCGGCGUGCCUAACACAUGCAAGUCGUGCGGUCUCGCCUUAAGCGAAAGGCCUUCGGGCUUUGAAGCAAAGGCGAGAUAGCGGCGGACGGGUGAGUAACGCGUGGCUUAUCUGUCCCAGGGAGGGGGAUAACGUCUGGAAACGGGCGCUAAUACCCCAUAUGCCGAAAGGUAAAAAGGAGAGAUCCGCCCUGGGGUGAGGCCGCGUCCUAUCAGCUCGUUGGUGAGGUAACGGCCCACCAAGGCUAUGACGGGUAGCCGGCCUGAGAGGGCGGCUGGCCACACUGGGAUUGAGAUACGGCCCAGACUCCUACGGGAGGCAGCAGUGGGGAAUAUUGGGCAAUGGGGGAAACCCUGACCCAGCGACGCCGCGUGGAGGAAGGAGCCCUUCGGGGUGUAAACUCCUGUUGUAAGGGAAGAAGACAGUGACGGUACCUUACGAGGAAGCCCGGCAAACUACGUGCCAGCAGCCGGGUAAAAGUGUGUGUA